rnacentral:tRNA from 1 species
GGGCCCGUAGCUCAGCCAGGUUGGAGCGUUCGACUGAUAAUCGAAAGGUCUUGUGUUCAAAUCACAACGGGCCCA